rnacentral:rRNA from 1 species
UACAGAGGUCCCAAGCGUUGUUCGGAUUCAUUGGGCGUAAAGGGUGUGUAGGUGGCGCCGUAAGUCGGGUGUGAAAUCGUCGGGCCUAACUCCGAAACUGCAUUCGAUACUGCGGUGCUUGAGGACUGGAGAGGAGACUGGAAUUCAUGGUGUAGCAGUGAAAUGCGUAGAGAUCAUGAGGAAGACCAGUGGCGAAGGCGGGUCUCUGGACAGUUCCUGACACUGAGACACGAAGGCCAGGGGAGCAAACGGG